GUUCAAAUAAACCGGUUCUUCAAUUCUCGGACAAGAAGUGAUUCCCGGAAAAGAAUCGACGUCUCAGGGCCUCGAUACAUUUUAAAGUGCGCGCACGCACAGCGAGUGAAGUAGGCCGCGUUAGUGAGGUGAUUUUUGAUGCCUGUGUGGUUUAAAGUCUUUUUACAUACGUAAAUAAAGGUUUUUGGUAAGUCGUAAUUCAAAAUGUUGUUUUUUCUUGUCAGAAGAGCACAUGGAUAACGUUACAUUUGUGAGAGAAAAACUCGUCGAGUGCAGUCUUAUCGAGACGUCUAACGGUUGGAACAAACAUGGAAUUCCUUAACCGAGCAGAGUCCACAAAACCCCAUCCAUUUGUCAUGAGGAUUUGAAAAUGCCAGCAGAUCUAUCAGACAUUGAUCAUAAUCAAUGGACAGGUCACCGUAGCCACUGGGAUCCAGUCUGUAUUCAGAUCAGAUGGUGGAUCAGCACCUAGAGAUGACCUCUACAGCCCUGAAUGUCAGCGGAGACCAGGACUACUAGAUGAGCCCCAGAGACAGAUCCCCAGUAAAGACCUUGUCUCCUAGACGGCCAUCGGAACAAGACAGCGGAAACCAGAUGAGUCCUCUGCACAAUCAAACUCUGCUGCAGCCUGUAAUUGAACUGCUGGUUUCGUCUGGCCAGAGGAGAACUGGUCCCCCGACUGAGCCUGGUUUCUC
ensembl:lncRNA